rnacentral:lncRNA from 1 species
GAAUUGAUUGAAACCAGAAACCCUUAAUCAUUAUUAUUCAUUCACCCUCAAUAGAUUGAAACCCAAAAACCUUUACUCUUCUCUUCCGUCGGCAGUCAAUCUCACUCACUCAUUGAAACCCUAAAACCCAGAAGCUUGACUCAUUGGAACCAGAAUCCAAAACUCGUUAAAACCCCAAAACCAUCUUCUCCAUCGUUCUAGAGUUCUUUGAACCAAGAAACUCUUCGUCGUGUCUGCAUCGUUCACCAUUAUUCAUCGCAAUUGAACCUCGUCUCGUCAGAACUCAUUCUUUAGGUAUUUGGAUUUCUCUUAUUCUUCUUUGAUUUCUAAUUUUAAAUUUGCAGUCUAAGAUUUUGGAUUUCUUUUGCAUUAAAAAAUGUUUGUGUUCUUUGUGUUCUAUAACUUGUUCACUAAACUACAAUUGUGGAAAGCUGCUUGCUUACCUUUCACAUCGUGUUUGAUAGGUAUCAUGAUUUUGUUCUAUUCAUGGUUUU